rnacentral:piRNA from 1 species
UAGAGAAUGUCUGCAGGCUGAAUCUA